rnacentral:rRNA from 1 species
UUUCAACAAUGAAGCGAGUGGCGAACUGGUGAGUAACACGUGGGAAAUCUGCCCAGAAGCAGGGGAGUAACACCUGGAAACAGAUGCUAAUACCGCAUAACAACUUGGACCGCAUGGUCCGAGUUUGAAAGGUGGCUUCGGCUAUCACUUCUGGAUGAUCCCGCGGCGUAUUAGUUAGAUGGUGGGGUAACGGCUCACCAUGGCAAUGAUACGUAGCCGACCUGAGAGGGUAAUCGGCCACAUUGGGACUGAGACACGGCCCAAACUCC